AUUGAACGCUGGCGGCAGGCCUAACACAUGCAAGUCGAACGGUAACAGGAAGACGCUUGCUUCUUUGCUGACGAGUGGCGGACGGGUGAGUAAUGUCUGGGAAACUGCCUGAUGGAGGGGGAUAACUACUGGAAACGGUAGCUAAUACCGCAUAACGUCGCAAGACCAAAGAGGGGGACCUUCGGGCCUCUUGCCAUCGGAUGUGCCCAGAUGGGAUUAGCUAGUAGGUGGGGUAACGGCUCACCUAGGCGACGAUCCCUAGCUGGUCUGAGAGGAUGACCAGCCACACUGGAACUGAGACACGGUCCAGACUCCUACGGGAGGCAGCAGUGGGGAAUAUUGCACAAUGGGCGCAAGCCUGAUGCAGCCAUGCCGCGUGUAUGAAGAAGGCCUUCGGGUUGUAAAGUACUUUCAGCGGGGAGGAAGGGAGUAAAGUUAAGACCUUUGCUCAUUGACGUUACCCGAAGAAGAAGCACCGGCUAACUCCGU
rnacentral:rRNA from 1 species